rnacentral:lncRNA from 1 species
CUGCAAUCUGGUAGCGAAUUUUCAAUUGUAUUUUUUUUAUCGCACUUUUACUAAAACUUAAACUUGUUGGUUUAAUGUGUAUCUUAUUCAGUUUACAUUGGCGCCCACGUGUUUAAGUACGUAUGCUGAUAGAAAUAUUGCAUCUGUUCCUGAAAUAAAUAAUAUCAAAUAUGUACAGCUGUCUACAAUCUAACAUUUCAUUUAUUC